CUGGCCGCUGAUGAGCGGCGGCUAGCCGGCCCUGGAGACCUCCUCCGUUUACGUUGAGAAGGAGGACGAGAUUGCUAUUGCUGCGUCCAACCUCCACGUAUAGGUUCAUCUCUCUCUCUCUCUCUGAAUUUUUUUUUGCUAGGCAAUAUCGUGGCUUACUCCGUCCUCCACCUCUUCUUUUAAGGACACCACCAGGUUAUCCCUCUCUCUCCAAAGGAAUGGAGAAAAUCUCAUCUUUUUUCUUGUGCAUAUCCAUUUUUAUCUGUGCUUAGAAGGUGCUUCAUGAAAGUUGUAGCUAAAGUUACUUGUGAAGAGUUGUGGCUGGGUUCUUUGGUGGAGAUGAGGUGGCUAUGAGAAGCGUUCGGCUGGCACCUGACCCUCAAAUCGUUUGGAUGAUUCUCAGCAGAAGGUGGUGCUCAGGAUUCCUACCAUGAAAGACAGACAAGGUGGAAGCUUCAGAGCGAAAAUCCUGUUAAGUGAGAUUAUUCUAUAACAUGUGUCAACAUGAACGAAUGGGUGUGAUGGGCAGAACACUUCAGCUCUGGUUGUAGGGAGGGUCUCAUAGAUUCACCUUCUCGGUAUAGAUGUCCAUUGGUCAUGUUUCUCGACUUCUCCAUUUUGGAUUUCUUGACAGUUUGUUGUGUGACAUUGGCCGUGUUCUUGCUGCAGGUGUUCCUCUAUCCAUUGGGUGUCCAUUGGUUGCAUAUAUACAACAUGCAAAUUUCCAUUUCUUUGGUCAUGUUGCAAGAUUGCAACUCAUCUUUUUAUAGUCCGUCUCCUGCAUGGUCAGGUUUCACAUACAGUUCAUGGAGUUUUUGAUUCAUUUUUGCUCAAGUAAAAGAUGCCCGUGGCCGCCGGCCACAUUGUGUGAGGUGAGUGAGCACUAUGUCAGUGUUCUUAUUCUGCCGAAGCAUAGGAACUGAAAUAUAAUUGUUCCAAUGAACUCUUAAUAGAGAGGCUUGGUUCGAGGCUCUUCUAGAAUUUCUGGCAGGGAAGAAGAUAUGGACCAGGUUCUAACUAGCUUUCCUUUGUGACGCUGGUGCUAGCUAGCUUAUUUUCUUUCUCUUUUGGCAAUUGCUAGAUCGCUGCAUGUGUUACAGAAUUUCUUUUUCCUACAGAAAUUAUCAAGCUUGCUUGCUUGGCCAUAGGCAUUUUAAACUGUGGUUAACAAAUAAGUGUCAACCAAGUGUUCCAUCCAGUUUAUUUGUGUCAUGAUGCUAUAUAUAUGAACUUUGGAUGCAAUAGUUUCAUUCUAAUUUCACCAUCUUAUUUCAGCGGCUUAUGAGCAAAUGUGCUGCUUUUUUUUUCCUGCGAGGUCAUAUAAUGUUACCUGGGUAUAACAUUGUGAGAGUCUAUUGUUUUCAAGCAUAUAUGUGCUAAUUCAGUAGAAGGUGGUGUCAGUUUAGUUCAUUUAUCCUAACUGAGUCUUAUAGUUGGAUACCAUGCACAUUGCUUGCCUAUUUAUUCCAUUUUCUUCUAAAAUGCAGAAUAUUGAUGGUUUUCUUGCUGUCUUGAAUUUGUCUGAUGGAAACUUCUCUCCCCAAACUCUGUAGCUUCCGUUUGCAGUAACAAGCAUUGAUGAGGAUAGGACUCUACUCUUCCCCAACUUAGAAGCUUUCGUUUUCAGUAUGUUGUUUCACAUGUGGUUCCAUGGCACUGAUAGGUAAAACCAAUUUUAUGUCCAAUACAAAUUGGCACAGAAGAACAUGAUUAGGACGUUCGCAAAAAAAAAAGAACAUGAUUAGGAGGGCGGAGUUACCUCUUUGGAGUUUGAUCAUUUUAAGUUGGCCAAUGCUUAAUUUUGGCCAUGGUUCACAUAGACUGGUUGCUGAAGUUUGUAUACAUACCAUUUUGCAGUUGAGGCUGUUGAUAUUCAUCAGCAAGUAAAAUGCCGUGGAGCACGGGAAAAGGCAAAGCACGACCACAUGGAUCUGAUAAAAUUCUGGGUAUGUAGAAAUAUAUCUUUAGGAAGAACAAUUCCGGGCAGAAGCAUACCGUGACUGUGCAACUCUACAUGCAGAACUGACUGAAUUAGCAUCGAAAAAUCACAAAAUCAACUCUGACCCUGCAGAUGAGCUCGGUGUUGUACUUGUUGAGCCUGCUAUUGAUGAUCCUGAUCCAGGCAAAGGGACCAUUAUCAGUAGUCCUGACAACAAGUCUUAUCAUUUGGUGCUUCGCAACACUGGUCAUAAUGUUCAGGUUAAUCAAAAGAUCAUUUGUGUAGCUUAGGAGUACCUACGUCCAUCAUGUGCAACUUCCAAUCAUUCCUUUGGUUCCGAGUAUUCUGAACUAAAAAUCAUGAUCCCAGUUUAAUGUAGGUUUCUACUUUUUCGAAGUAGUUUUAAUCCUAUGGAUUUGAGUACCAUCUAUUUCUUGCUUACGUUACCAUAUAAUUACCAAUCUAUUUCUUGCUUUUGGUUCCGAGUGUUGUUUCUCCAUUUUGUUUGAGGAUGUAACCCCUGGCUAAGUAAAACUAGCAGUGACCGGCUGAAUUAUAGACUAAUAAAAAUGAGAAUUCUUGCCAAUGCCUGUAAUAAUCUGGUAGAGCUUUUUAUACUUCUCUCACUAACAAUACGGUUUAUAAUGUUGCUGCUGAAACCAGUACUUACACCUGUCUGUAAGCUGUAAUAACUUACAACUAUGUUAGUCUCAUUAUAGCCCCUGCCGCUGGUUUCGAGUUCUCAGGUGCUGCUGCUUGCGGCACAUAUUAUUCUUGGAGUUAUUUUUUUCAAAUUAGCCACAUAAUUAUAUGUAUUGUUUUAUUCAGAUUUUAUAUUCUAAUUAGCAGUAGCCGAUAAAAGUUGGAUCGACUAACAGGGUUCAAGUAUUGUCAGAUGUGCAAAGCUACCGGUUUUGAUUGCUUGCCUCCUUAGUUAUAAUCGAUGACUAUUUUGCCUCUGCUUGUGUCUAUUUUGUUAGUUCAUGCUGGUACAAAGAAUACAUUUAUGUUGUGUUGGUUUACACCCUAUGAAAAAUAGUGCUCUGUUUGCCCAGUAAUAAAUAUUUCUAAUUGCUUGAAUUAUACAUCUUCGAAACAAGUCUGUGACAUGAAUGUGUGCCUUAGAUCCUUUGUAUAUGGUAUAGUUUUGAUAUCAUGGUUUUGAGAAAAUUCGCAUCUCCAGAGGGGGUAUCUUAAUAUUUGUGUGUCCAUAAUUUUUUUCUUUUUAUUGGCAUGUGAUGACAUUUACUUCACCUAACACUUUUGAUCUGGAAAAGCAACUAAUCUUCUUGAUUACACAAACCUGCAGUGUACAACAAGUAUCAAACACGGCAUGCUAUUGUUUUGCUUUACUUGCUACUCUCUCCUUUUAUUAAUAUUUGCUUCCGCUUAUUUUGAAUAAUUCCUUCACAUUAUUUCGCUUUAUAUUCUCCUAUUACAGAAAUUAAUCGAGUAUGCAGAUAUAAUAUGAUAUUGGUUUGUAGACCCUUAAUGCCUUCUUUCAUGUCUGGAUGAGUUCAGAACUUUUUACUACUGAUAGCUGCUUAUGAGCCAUAUUUAGAGAUAUGUAGUAAAUAAAUCUAUUUUUCUACAACGUAAUGCCUGUAAAUUAAAUGCGUGCAACGUUCUUUGACUGAUUUUGCUACUUCUUGCAUAAUUAGGCGAGUCGUACAGUUGUGCUUAUGAUAUCAAUAUAGAUAUAUAUUGAUUCGUUCAGUUGCUUCAGAUAUUUUAAAUGAUUUUAUCAUGUAUGUUUGACAUUCUGCAAUGCACAAUAAUGAUAAAUUGAUUUCACUUCUUAGAAGUUAAUUUCUCAACUAAUCCGUUUACAUGAUUUUUCCGUCUUUCUAAAAUUGAUAUCACUCUAAUUAGGUAUUUCAAUGAGUUUAACUAGAUGCGUGAUAAUGCUCGAAGCAUGCUACGUGAAGUCUCUGUCAUCUAAUUGAACUGUUCUACAAAUUUGCAUCAAAUAUAUGAUGACUCAAACAUUUUAUUGAAUAUAUAGGUGAUGGAGUAGCAGCCUAUAUCCAUUGCAAAGGCUGGAAUAAUUGUGUCCUAAAAUGCUAAAACAUCUGUCCUAGCACAUGAAAAUCCAUCCUGAGUCACGUUAUAAUCAUAGGCUCUGUGGAAUUGACAAUAUCCACCUUCCUCCAAAACUAAUGUCAUCAGUGUGAAAAUAUGCAUCUUGAAGAAUAAAAUUGACGCUGGCCCCCGCCUUUUUGUUCACUUUUUAUUUAGGAUUUUCUCAAAUUAAUGAUUCUUCUCUCUACAGAUCCAAAAUUCUUCAGAUUUUAGGGAUUAUAAUUUCCCGAUGUACCAAGGACAAUAGCAACGAGUGACAUACGUAGCUAAAAAAAUAUGUCAUGCCUUGCAAGUUCCUGAAUAUUGCGGUUAACAAGAGGAUCUAUGUGGUACAUGUGGCUGUUCUCACGAAUACAGAUUGAAGAAGUUUAAACUAUAUAGCUUGGAUUGGAGGGACAAUGUUUGUACGCUCAGAAGUACAUGCUGCCUUUGAUUUACCAUUCUUCCUAAGCUAAACCAAACCGAGAGAUAUCUGAUGGGAAGAAAAAAGAUGCACCUGAUUGAGACGGUGACCUGGUACAACAGCACGCCAGUCUCUACGCCGAUGAGGCCACUGUACCCGUUCCGCUGGCGCUGUCAAGCACCUCAACCAGCCUUGUUGUCCCGUAGGUGCUCUGCCUUUGGUUUCUGGUGGCAAGAGAACUGACACGUCAGUGUCAAGACCAUCAUGCAAGGAGCCACCACCUAUGGACAGCGGCAACACCAUGGCUCUAGACAGCGCGGCCUUCAAUUCACCAUGGUAUUAAAAUGCGGAGCAAGCUUGGUGAAACAAUGGUGAUCAUCUAUUUGGUCGGUUGGAAGAGAGAUUGAGCUCAAAGAAAUGUGAAGAAUCAGGAGAUGCCUGACCAUCGACGGAGUGGAAGAAAAGGAGAUCGUAGAAGAAAGCAAGACACGAGCCAGACAGAGCCAAAGGGCUACAGAGGCAAGGAGAAAAGUUCUGGAUGUGUUGUGUUCGUGUGACCCUGUGUGCGCGUCCGUGGUCUGCGCUAGGCCUGAUUGUAUAUUUCUUUAAUUCCAUAAAAAAGUUCUGUGGUCCUGAUUAUGUCAUGUUGAUUUGUGUGCACAAUAUUCUUUCUUUUGUCAUUCAAUCACCAACGAGUAAAAUAUACAUUGCAA